rnacentral:lncRNA from 1 species
CUCACACUGAUUGCUCUGGACGGACUCGACGCCUCCUACGACGCCUUCGUCACCAUUGUCACCGCGUCGGCAGGCGAUCUCUCAUUUUCUGAAUUCAAGGGGCUACUGCGAGCCUAUGAGAAGCGUCACACAUGCGAAAUCUCAUUCCCGUUUGCAAAUCUGGCCCAAUCUGGGGAUUCUUUUAAAUCUAAUUCAAACUCUAUUAUAUGUCAAAUUUGUUCCAAACCAGGUCACUCGGCAGUGGCAUGUUUCAAUCGACACAAUGAACACAUAUUUCCUACUCCACCUAAUCCUUGUCGCAACAAGUAUCGAGGAUAUCAGAAUAAUGAAAAUAAAAAGACAGAGGCUAAUGCGGGUUGGUGCACAGACUCUGGUUGCACAGAUCAUGUGACACAAAAUGAAGAUACAUUGAAGGAAGUUGAUCUUGUUCCCAGAGAAACAAAUUUGGCAGUUGCAAAUGGGAAUAUUAUUUCAAUUAAAUCUACUGGUAAAUCUAAAUAUUAUUGCAAUGGUAGAUUGGUUUUGCUUAAUGACGUUCUUCAUGUACCAGAAAUUAAGAAGAACUUAUUAUCUGUUAGAAAAUUAUGUAAAGAUAAUUCAGUCAAGGUUGUAUUUGACAAUGACAUUGUUUCUAUUAAGGAUCGAACAACUGAUGAAGAGCUGGUGGCUGGUGGCUGGUGGCAUCAAGGACAGACUCUACUAUGUGGAUUUUGAGGAGCAACGAAAUUUUCCUAGUGUGAAUUUGGCAACAAAAGCAUCGGUCUCUCUCUGGCAUGAAAGAUUUGGUCAUGCAAAUAACAAAGUAGUUGAAAGUAUGAUUAGGAAAUUUAAUUUUCCUGUAAACAAAAGUGAUAAUAAAAAUAAAUGUCAACAUUGUUUGGUUGGU